UAGGCUGUUGGGAUUCUCAGAUUGAGA
rnacentral:piRNA from 1 species